rnacentral:lncRNA from 1 species
UUGUUUUUUUUUUUGUAAAAUUUUAUUUUUUGUUAUUUUAAAAAUAUAUUUUUAUCAUAUUAAAGGUGUCAUUUAAUGAUACUAUUUUUCUUUAAAAAUUACAAUAUCUACAUUCAUAAAUGAUAUUAUAUGUAUAUUAAUUUGAAUGACACUUUUAAUUUAUGUAUAAUGAUACUAUUGUUGUUAGUAAAUUACACUAUCUAUAUUAUUAAAUGACACUACUAU